UACGUAGGGUGCGAGCGUUAAUCGGAAUUACUGGGCGUAAAGCGUGCGCAGGCGGUUUUGUAAGUCAGAUGUGAAAUCCCCGGGCUCAACCUGGGAACUGCGUUUGAAACUACAAGGCUAGAGUGUAGCAGAGGGGGGUGGAAUUCCACGUGUAGCGGUGAAAUGCGUAGAUAUGUGGAGGAACACCGAUGGCGAAGGCGGCCCCCUGGGCUAACACUGACGCUCAGGCGCGAAAGCGUGGGGAGCAAACAGG
rnacentral:rRNA from 1 species